AGAGUUUGAUCAUGGCUCAGGACGAACGCUGGCGGCGUGCUCUAAUACAUGCAAGUAGAACGCUGAAGACUGGUGCUUGCACUAGUCAGAUGAGUUGCGAACGGGUGAGUAACGCGUAGGUAACCUACCUCAUAGCGGGGGAUAACUAUUGGAAACGAUAGCUAAUACCGCAUGACAAUUAAGUACUCAUGUACUAAAUUUAAAAGGAGCAAUUGCUUCACUAUGAGAUGGACCUGCGUUGUAUUAGCUAGUUGGUGAGGUAACGGCUCACCAAGGCCACGAUACAUAGCCGACCUGAGAGGGUGAUCGGCCACACUGGGACUGAGACACGGCCCAGACUCCUACGGGAGGCAGCAGUAGGGAAUCUUCGGCAAUGGGGGCAACCCUGACCGAGCAACGCCGCGUGAGUGAAGAAGGUUUUCGGAUCGUAAAGCUCUGUUGUUAGAGAAGAACGGUAAUGGGAGUGGAAAAUCCAUUACGUGACGGUAACUAACCAGAAAGGGACGGCUAACUACGUGCCAGCAGCCGCGGUAAUACGUAGGUCUCGAGCGUUGUCCGGAUUUAUUGGGCGUAAAGCGAGCGCAGGCGGUUAUUUAAGUCUGAAGUUAAAGGCCGUGGCUCAACCAUGGUUCGCUUUGGAAACUGGAUAACUUGAGUGCAGAAGGGGAGAGUGGAAUUCCAUGUGUAGCGGUGAAAUGCGUAGAUAUAUGGAGGAACACCGGUGGCGAAAGCGGCUCUCUGGUCUGUAACUGACGCUGAGGCUCGAAAGCGUGGGGAGCAAACAGGAUUAGAUACCCUGGUAGUCCACGCCGUAAACGAUGAGUGCUAGGUGUUAGGCCCUUUCCGGGGCUUAGUGCCGCAGCU
rnacentral:rRNA from 1 species